UUUAAGAUAUUGGAGCCACUGUUUUUUCUGACAGUGCAAAUAUACGGAUCUAGAAUUUUUUUAUCCCUAUUGGUAGCUUGAUUUGUAUCAUAGUAGAACACUGAUACACUGAGUAAAGUGUUCCUCGUUACAAUACAUUGAUACACUAAGUAAUCUUGUUUUUUCGGCUGGAGUGGAGUCCACUGUCACAGCCAACAUGUGACUAAAUUUCCUCACUACAGUCUACACCUUGUAGGUCAGUCUCUCUGUCUUAAGUCAUCACAAGUUUAAUGUUUUUCUUGCUUUCAAUGACAUUUUAUUUGAAAACAUUUGCUCUCUGACUUAUUGCAAUUGGUUGCUUCCAAAAGUGUUGGCAUCCUCAACUCCACUGUAAGUCUCGUCUUUUUAUCUUUUACAGUAGUAUUCUUACGGACGAAUCAAACCAAACAUCAACACGGGAUCAGGUGAUUACUUUAGCAGCAGUAUAUUCUCUAGCCUUGCUUUGCUAUUUUCAUAAAAACAUCUUGUGUUUUAUGUUAUUAUCAGGCACAUAUAGUAAUGUUUUAGGCAUGAUCAAUGAAACUCAAGUCCUUCUUAGUCUACUUCCUCCCACUCGCAUUCCCAUCUCAUUGUUCUGUUACACCAAAGACAGAUGGAUUUUAAAAGGUGUUACAAACGCUACCACAUUGACAUGUGACUUUACUCUGUUUUUCAGGUAGCAUGCCCACUACUCUACCACCACUGAUCCAUAUCUUUUAGGUCAUUGUAUUGCUAUUUUGCAGGCCAUCGACUAGAACAAAGAUCUUUCUAGAGAAUCAUAUUGUUGAUUCAGAAAUUUCUCUUACAGCCACUGUUAAUUUGGUGUGUGUUUCGUCUUUAUAUAUGUGCUUUUGGAGAAAGCUGAUAGGCUAAAUUGUUUGGGUUCUAGGCAGUAGCUAGAAAGAAACUUGGAAGCUGAGAAAAGCUGCUGCAAUAUAUUGCAAGAACUUAUCUCACGGCAUUUCAAACUCGCUCGCUUCUUUCUUUUCUACAUACAUUCAUAGUACAUUGAUAUGUGAUCCAAUUUAUAAAAUUUUAAGCGAAAUUUCUUGUGGAUGGUGACCACUACCAAGUCUGGAUCGUGAGUAGUACUUGGGAGAUACUAAUCAUUGUUUGGUAUACUAAAAUAAUCUGUUGUGGUUCUAUGCAUUCAGAAUAUGCGUUCAUGAUUUUGUUUUUGAGGAAUUGGAUGAUGUGUUGUUUACUAUCCUCGGGGCUACAUGGUGUGGAUUGUGAAGGCCGGCCGAUGUACAUAGAGAGGCCAGGGAAGGUGUCCCGGAGUUUGAGAGAGCUUUUAGGGAGAGGUUCUCUGCCUGCACAUUAGCUUCUAAGAGGCAUAUUGACUCCACUACCAUCUUCGACGUCCAAGGGGCUCACAUGGAUCAUCCCAGAGCGCAAGCAAACUUUGAGAUCGCGCCGAAAGCAUGCCAUCCCUGGAAUCCUUCAGUUGGGAGUAACAUUUAGUUCCACUGUGUGGUUUUUGCUCUCUAAAUAUAUUGCUUGUCAUACAUAUGUUUGCGAUCUCAUAGAUUUGGAUUUUGAGCAUUACCAGUUUAUUAUUUUUGUUAAUGCAAGCCUUGAAGCGUAUCAAACUCUAUGAACUGGUAUGAUUUGGAAGAUAGGAAUUGUAACUUCUGUGUUGCAAAUAAUCUAUGAGGUGUGAGCUGCUAGAGGUAAAAUUUGCUGAAAUAGUUGAUCUGAAAUAGUCAUGUAUCUUGUGAUAUUAACAAUUCCUCACAGUAUUUGACUAUUUGUAUUGUAGCAACUGCUCCUUUUGCUUCGUGUAGUACUAAAUUUACUGUUGUUUGUUUAAAAGAAAAAUUUAGGUUCCAUUUGCAAUAGUGGAUAUGUUUUCACUGUCUGAUGAAUGCUGUUGGGAUAUUUGGUUUUUCUUUUGUCAAACUCUAAUUAAUAUAUUUUCCUUGUAUUGUAUGAAUUGCGAUGUUCAGAAGUACAAAGAUAUUAGUAAAGUCGAGAAGGACAUCGUUCUCAGGCCAUCAAUGGCGCCGCGCUGCACCUCUUCAGCUUCGCCGAGGCCAUCAGCAUCGGUCGCCCACCUAGAAACUCUUCAAGAUCAUAGACCUCCACGACAGGCUCUCGAAGUCUCGGACCUCCUAUCCGACGUCUUUGGCUAUACCUAGCCUCAACAUCGAGAUGACGAUGUGAGGACUCUAGGUCAGUGUCUCUAGCGUUGUCCUGUCAUGAAAAGCAAACUAUCACGAAAUGUUUUUAUGGAUUUUAUCUUCAUUGAUGAAGAUAAAAUUAUAGUUAUGUAAACAUUCUUAACCUUUAAAAAGAUGCUAACAAGAACAUUGAAUGAUAAUUAAU